rnacentral:pre_miRNA from 1 species
AAAAUAUUCCCUCCGUCCGGAAAUACUUGUCAUCAAAAUGAAUAAAAGGGGAUGUAUCUAGAUGUAUUUUAGUUCUAGAUACAUCCCUUUUUGUCCAUUUUGAUGACAAGUAUUUUCGGACGGAGGGAGUAAUUG